CCAUACAGAACACUUCCUCCACAUAUAUAAAUCCCACUCCAAUCAGAUAUACAUAAUCAAAAUUACCAUGCUUACAUGCUCAUAUUCAAAUAUCAAAAAUAUAUAUAUCAGCCUAAUUAGACAUGCAUAACAGUGUCUUACUCAGAGCAGAACGUCAGACCACCAGAUCACAUAGUUUUAGGGUUUGGUUAGCCUUUACUGACCAUACAAUAGGCCCAAAGUCAAUCGGAACGACCCGUGCAACCCUAGGAAAAAUUUUAAAAUUAUGGGCCCACAUGCCCGUACGAGCUCACACGCUCGUGUGGCCCACAUGACCUGGCCCAAUACUCCCUAGCCCGUGUGGCCCACACGACCACACCCACAUUAUCA
rnacentral:lncRNA from 1 species